GAUGAACGCUGGCGGCGUGCCUAAUACAUGCAAGUCGAGCGAACGGACGAGAAGCUUGCUUCUCUGAUGUUAGCGGCGGACGGGUGAGUAACACGUGGAUAACCUACCUAUAAGACUGGGAUAACUUCGGGAAACCGGAGCUAAUACCGGAUAAUAUUUUGAACCGCAUGGUUCAAAAGUGAAAGACGGUCUUGCUGUCACUUAUAGAUGGAUCCGCGCUGCAUUAGCUAGUUGGUAAGGUAACGGCUUACCAAGGCAACGAUGCAUAGCCGACCUGAGAGGGUGAUCGGCCACACUGGAACUGAGACACGGUCCAGACUCCUAAGGGAGGCAGCAGUAGGGAAUCUUCCGCAAUGGGCGAAAGCCUGAAGGAGCAAAGCCGCGUGAGUGAUGAAGGUCUUCGGAUCGUAAAACUCUGUUAUUAGGGAAGAACAUAUGUGUAAGUAACUGUGCACAUCUUGACGGUACCUAAUCAGAAAGCCACGGCUAACUACGUG
rnacentral:rRNA from 1 species